AUUGAACGCUGGCUGCAUGCCUUACACAUGCAAGUCGAACGGCAGCACGGGUGCUUGCACCUGGUGGCGAGUGGCGAACGGGUGAGUAAUACAUCGGAACGUACCUUAUCGUGGGGGAUAACGCAGCGAAAGCUGUGCUAAUACCGCAUACGCACUGAGGGGGAAAGCGGGGGAUCGCAAGACCUCGCGCAAUUAGAGCGGCCGAUGCCUGGUUAGCUUGUUGGUGGGGUAAAAGCCCACCAAGGCGACGAUCAGUAGCUGGUCUGAGAGGACGAGCAGCCACACUGGGACUGAGACACGGCCCAGACUCCUACGGGAGGCAGCAGUGGGGAAUUUUGGACAAGGGGGGCAACCCUGAUCCAGCAAUGCCGCGUGAGUGAAGAAGGCCUUCGGGUUGUAAAGCUCUUUUGUCAGGGAAGAAACACCGGCUCUAACACAGUCUGGGAAUGACGGUACCUGAAGAAUAAGCACCGGCUAACUACGUGCCAGCCGCCGCAGUAA
rnacentral:rRNA from 1 species